rnacentral:lncRNA from 1 species
CAUUGUUCGGUAUUCUGAUUUUGGUAAAUGAAUUAAUCAGAUAAAGUUCGGCUGGAUGAUGGUAUUUAUAAGCAGAGGAAGAAUGAUUGAGUAUGCGUAUUGAAUUGGAAGACCGCGUGCUGAAUUUGAUCAACUCUAAUCUUCUUGCAUAAGGUAUGGCUACUGUAUCUUCUUAUGAACUUGUACAGAAUCUUCUGGCUAAGUUACAUGGGCACUUACUCAAACUGGCUGCGGCUACGUACGUUAAUGACUCCGUCCCUUUGUUUGCAUUGCUAUUGCGUUAUAGUCAAGUACGCCUCCAGCUGAAGCCGCAAAUUGAGUUAUUAAUUAUGAUUAUCCGCCGCUGUUCCGUCUAAAACUUGGUGACAAAGCAUUGGUCGACUUGGUAAUUCAUUCCAUCACAUUCGUUGUACGUCCGUUGUGGCAGUCAUAUCCCCGUUGGUUCAUUCCUUGCUGCUGUCAUUUGUGGAAUUAAGAAAUGCUGUGCAGAAACCAACGGGUCCCUGUGACUAGCCAACUCGAACCUCGACCGGGUUGGUUAAACAUUAACGGGGUGAAUUUGGUGGUGGCGCUGUUUAAUCUUCUGUUUUCUGCAGGUUUCACUUGAUGGGUUGGCGCUGUUUAAUCUUCUGUUUUCUGCAGGUUUCACUUGAUGGGUUUAGAUCAUCAAUCAUCAUACUGAAAGGACAUUACGGGAAACACCUACUGAAAGCAAGCAAGCAGGGAAGUUUGAGGUUCAUUUGUGGUCGAUCGAUAACAUUUUAUGCAAUUUGUAACCAAGGGGCUCAAGAAAACGCCCCAACCCCAUCUUCAGUAUAAGGACAACUAGUUUGAAAUUAGGGGGGAAUCAAGUCUCCAAAUCCGGUGAAAUUGAGGAUGUAGUUUUGCAGCCGCGAAAAACGUAUCCGAUGAAAUUAAUUAGGCAUCCAAAAUUGACUUCUAAAUCCGAUCAACUCUGCCCCAUAUCUUCCAACGACGAUGCUUAAGUAAAAGGGACGGGAAGGUUUGUUUGCUAUAACACUAUAAUAACAGUGAAGAUGGAUGGUUGGCGACGGCGAUGGGAAAUGUACGGAUGGAGACACUAGUAUAGUGGGUAGGGGCCGGUAAUUUUUCUGUCUUUUAUCUAUUUUUGUGAUGUUAUGGCUAUGGUCCACAAAAUGUAGCUGUCUGUGUUCAUAUAUUUUUCUACACAAACACUUCAGACCAUUAACUCAAUGACUGGUUUCAUUCUUGGGAUGAAUCAGAGCCGUUGACGGGAGAGAAAUAUGAAAUAUCAAUACAAGAAAAGUUCAAGUGGUUUCUCUACCAUCGCCUCUUUGUCAUUACUCAUCACCCAUAGGCCGGCCAUAUACGUGAACAAUAAUGCAUUGUUGUCACACUUGGUUCAAACAUUUCCAUAUAUUAUACGAUGUGUC